rnacentral:rRNA from 1 species
AACGAACGCUGGCGGCAUGCCUAACACAUGCAAGUCGAACGAGACCUUCGGGUCUAGUGGCGCACGGGUGCGUAACGCGUGGGAACCUGCCCUUAGGUUCGGAAUAACUCCCCGAAAGGGGUGCUAAUACCGGAUAAUGUCUUCGGACCAAAGAUUUAUCGCCUUUGGAUGGGCCCGCGUUGGAUUAGCUAGUUGGUAGGGUAAAAGCCUACCAAGGCGACGAUCCAUAGCUGGUCUGAGAGGAUGAUCAGCCACACUGGGACUGAGACACGGCCCAGACCCCACCGGGGGGAGGAGGGGGGGAAUUUGGGAAAGUGGGGAAAACCGUAACCCGCCAUGGCCGGGGAAGUGAUAAGGGCUUUGGGGUUGAAAAGCUUUUUUCCCCGGGAUAUAAAUAACGGUACCGGGGAAAAAGGCCCCGCCAACCUCGUG